rnacentral:rRNA from 1 species
GAUGAACGCUGGCGGCGUGCUUAACACAUGCAAGUCGAACGAGAAGUGAAGACGGAAACCUUCGGGCGGAAGGCUUUAUUUCGAGUGGCGGACGGGUGAGUAACGCGUGGGUAACCUGCCCCAUACAGGGGGAUAACAGUUGGAAACGACUGUUAAUACCGCAUAAGACCACAGCACCGCAUGGUGCGGGGGUAAAAACUCCGGUGGUAUGAGAUGGACCCGCGUUCGAUUAGCCAGUUGGCGGGGUAACGGCCCACCAAAGCGACGAUCGAUAGCCGAUCUGAGAGGAUGACCGGCCACAUUGGGACUGAGACACGGCCCAAACUCCUACGGGAGGCAGCAGUGGGGAAUAUUGCACAAUGGGGGAAACCCUGAUGCAGCGACGCCGCGUGAGUGAAGAAGUAUUUCGGUAUGUAAAGCUCUAUCAGCAGGGAAGAAAAUGACGGUACCUGAGUAAGAAGCCCCGGCUAACUACGUG